AUGAUCUUAGAGGUCUUUUCCAACUUUGAAGAUUCUGUUAUUGUACGGACCACUGGCGAGAGGCAGCCACGGGGCUGGGGGACUCGGCAGGGACACUCUCCCUGCUCCUGCCCCGCGCCCGUGCCCUGCCCUGCUACCUUCUACCCUUCCCUCUACCCUUCGCUCCUGGGGGCAGACCGAAGCGCUAAGGAAACGAACAGCCCAGUGUUGGUCGUUUCUUUAGCGGCUUUAGCCCUGCACAGAGCGCACUUCGCGGCGGGGCGGCGGGGCCGUGAGGGCCCGGGCCGGGCGCACCGCCUGCGGAGCGGCCGAGCCGCCACGAGAUGGCGCACGAGGAGCGGCCAGGCCGCCCCUCAGCCCCGCGGCCGCCCCCUCAGCCCCGGCGGGCACCGGCGGCAGCUCCCGCCGCCCCCAGGACGGCCCUCAUUUUGCCUUCCCAGGCUUGGCCCUCAUUUGCAAAGUCCUGCUGGCGCCAGAGUUUUCUUGUGUUCAGCCAUGGGCAGGGUUACAGUAAAUGGUUUCCUCUCGCUUCCUUCUGGGAUCCUGUGCCAGGGCAGAAGAGCCAUAACAGGACCUUCCUGGAUUCUGAGUCUGCAUUUAGGGUGAGAAUAGAAGAAAUGUAUUCAAGGUGACCCUGAUCUGCACAAGUGUUCAGCUUUCCAGCCAAAAUUUUUGGGGACCAGAAAGAGGCAAGUCCAGACUUUCAAUUAAUCUUGCUUAACAGUUCAAUUGCUACUCACAGGUCUAAUGGUCAACAGAGCCAUAUCAUCAUCUGAAUCCAACAGCACCAACCAACUUAAAAGCUGGUGCUUGGUUCAGCACUAGGUUCUCUAAAAUUAACAACAUGUGUAAGGAUGGUGUUCAACCAAAACCCAAAAGACUUGCCUGGUUAUUCUCAUUCAAGCAUGCUCACUGAUAGUGAUUAUUAGCAAUAUCUUUUUUUAUAAAUGAUUUUUAUUUUCAAGAGAAGGUCCUAAAAAUACUUUUUUCUUAAGCAAUAAUGUCUAUGUUUAUGUGUUACAUGAGGCAGAUGUUGGUUUAAAGCUUAAUUCUCACUUAAGAUAUCUUUCAGUCCACGAAAGGGUUGAUUAGUGUCCCCUAGCUGAACCAUUUUUUCCCUCUGUUGCUUUGACCCAUUGAUUUAAUUAAGGUCUAAUAAAGAGAGGGCUGAAAGAUUGUUAAAAAUCCUU
rnacentral:lncRNA from 1 species